AGUGGCGAAGGCGGUUCUCUGGACUGUAACUGACGCUGAGGCACGAAAGCGUGGGUAGCAAACAGGAUUAGAUACCCUGGUAGUCCACGCCGUAAACGAUGAGUACUAGGUGUAGGAGGUAUCGACCCCUUCUGUGCCGCAGUAAACACAAUAAGUACUCCGCCUGGGAAGUACGAUCGCAAGAUUAAAACUCAAAGGAAUUGACGGGGGCCCGCACAAGCAGCGGAGCAUGUGGUUUAAUUCGAAGCAACGCGAAGAACCUUACCUGGACUUGACAUCCCCUGCAUAGCCUGGAGACAGGCGAAGCCCUUCGGGGCAGGGAGACAGGUGGUGCAUGGUUGUCGUCAGCUCGUGUCGUGAGAUGUUAGGUUAAGUCCUGCAACGAGCGCAACCCUUGUUGUUAGUUGCUAACAUUAAGUUGAGCACUCUAACGAGACUGCCGCGGUUAACGCGGAGGAAGGUGGGGAUGACGUCAAAUCAUCAUGCCCCUUAUGUCCAGGGCGACACACGUGCUACAAUGGGCAGAACAGAGAGAAGCAAUACCGCGAGGUGGGGCGAAACUCAAAAACUGUUCUCAGUUCGGAUUGCAGGCUGAAACCCGCCUGCAUGAAGCUGGAGUUGCUAGUAAUCGCGAAUCAGCAUGUCGCGGUGAAUACGUUCCCGGGCCUUGUACACACCGCCCGUCACACCAUGAGAGCUGGCAACACCCGAAGUCCGUAGUCUAACUUAGGAGGACGCGGCCGAAGGUGGGGUUAGUGAUUGGGGUGAAGUCGUAACAAGGUAGCCGUA
rnacentral:rRNA from 1 species